rnacentral:rRNA from 1 species
UCCUACGGGACGCAGCAGGGAAUUUUCGUCAAUGGGCGCAAGCCUGAACGAGCAAUGCCGCGUGAACGAGGAAGGUCUUCGGAUCGUAAAGUUCUGUUGAAGGGGAAAAAGAGCGGAGAGAGGAAAUGGUCUCCGAUUGAUAUUACCCUUCGAGGAAGUCACGGCUAACUACGUGCCAGCAGCCGCGGUAAUACGUAGGUGGCGAGCGUUAUCCGGAAUGAUUGGGCGUAAAGGGUGCGUAGGCGGCCUGCUAAGUCUGGAGUGAAAGGUACCGGCCCAACCGGUACAGGCUCUGGAAACUGGCG